UACGUAGGUGGCAAGCGUUGUCCGGAAUUAUUGGGCGUAAAGCGCGCGCAGGCGGUUCUUUAAGUCUGAUGUGAAAGCCCACGGCUCAACCGUGGAGGGUCAUUGGAAACUGGAGAACUUGAGUACAGAAGAGGAAAGCGGAAUUCCACGUGUAGCGGUGAAAUGCGUAGAGAUGUGGAGGAACACCAGUGGCGAAGGCGGCUUCCUGGUCUGUAACUGACGCUGAGGCGCGAAAGCGUGGGGAGCAAACAGG
rnacentral:rRNA from 1 species